rnacentral:misc_RNA from 1 species
GAGAUUUUUUCCUGCUUGCAGGAAAUCUCCCACCCUUUGUGUUACUUAAUUUUUAUACUUUGGUGAAGCGUUUUUCUCUUGCUUUUACAGGAAAGAAAGAACCAUCGGCUUUAAUUAGUGGGUGUGUCUUCACCAAAGGACCCCUUAACUCUUUAUUUUUUAUGAAUUGUCUGAGUUUAUAUUUUUAAAUAAACAAAAACUUUCAACAACGGAUCUCUUGGUUCU